CUCUACAGCUAACAGGUUACCAUGCGAGGGGGGGGGGGUCUUUAACAUGUCUCCAACUGAAUCAGAGUUUCCCAAAUGAGAAGAGAGCAAGGAUACACCACAGACCUGGACAUAAAUUUUAGUGCUCCCCCAGAGGCUUUAGACUCUUAUCACAAGCCCGUUGCAGGCUUGGUCGUUCCACUGGAGCAUCCCCCCACUGGGCCUGUCGCAGCUUAUCUAGCUUCGAUGAUAGCAGCCUUAUUUCCGAGACAGGAUGGACCCCCGUGUUAUCUCACAGAACUAUGCACCUCCGAGCUAGAGAAGACCUUGGAGACUCCAGCUAAUUUCAGGAAGUGAUUGUUGCUAAUUGGAGAGGGUCUGUUUUUCCUGGGGCUGACUGGCGGUCCUGUCCUCUGCUGGAUCUGGUUGAGACAUUCCUCCCUCCAGCUUCCAAUUCUUAUCAAGUGAGGCCUACAGGGAGAGGGCAGGAGGCAGCCAGACACAUCUCAAUUGUUCCUGGAUUCAGCUAUGUUGAGACUCUCCUCCACAAUGGACCUUUCUGCAUUUCACUUCCACUGUAAUCAGCUGCAAUCAUAGCAAUCAGCUGUAAUUUCUUAAAGCAGCUUUGUAAAGCUGCUUUUGGCUGGGAAACUGGAUAGAAAUAAGUAUGACCUCAAUAUCUUUUUCCAGGGUUUAGACAAGGGGUGUUGAAUUCGAGUACCAGAUCUGACAAAAAUGACACUUUUUCAGGCGGAGCCAUGUAUAUUGAAGACACAAACUUUAUAAAGGGCAAAGGCAAACCCAAUUAAUGAUAUUAAUGAUAUUAUUUUACUCAAAAUACAAACAUGCUUAAAAACAUGAACACUCUUGUUUUCUUUAUUUAACAGUCUUUGAUAACUGACACCUCUUGCUUUGAACUAUUGCAUCAAAAUCUGGAGUUAAAGUCUGUGGUCUAUCAAUUUUGAGGAUGCUGUUCAGGUUUGUCUUUGUAGGCUGAGAACAUACUUUUGUUUUAUUAACAUUCAUUACAGAAAAGAGCUGUUCACAGAUGUACACUGUCCCAAACAUAGAGAGAAUUUUAGCAACAAAAGCCUUAAAUUGGGAGUAAUUUGGAAUUUUGAUUGAUUGAUAGGUUUAUCGCUGUAACUAUAGGUCAUAACAUCCCCACAUAUACACCAACAUAAAACAGUGUACUACAGCAAAAGAUUAAAAUAUAUUUACAUAAGAGAAUAAACUUAAACAUUUAAAACUAAGAUGGUAAAAGAGAUAAAUCAGUAUGCUGAUGACACCCAGUUGUAUCUGUUGUUGGACGGACGGCCUGGCUUGGCUCCAGAAGCCCGGAUUAGAGUUUUGGAUGUUGUGUCUGGUUGGGUGAAGCAGAGCAGACUCAAGUUGUAUCCCAUGAAGACGGAGGUACUGUACUUGGGCCAUGGGACAUUGGAUCCAGCUUCCGGUCUUCGAUGGGGCACCACUUGUGCCCGUUUCAUCAGUCAGAAGUCUUGGCGUGAUGCUGGAUUCCUCUUAGAGGAUUAAUUGCCUCAUUGCCCACUGGUAAAUCUCCAGGUGAGGAUAUGUUAUCACCUGAACUGUAUAAAGCCUUCCCAGACUGGUGGGCCCCAGUACUCAAAUUAAUGGUUCAGGCCUGAUCCCCCCGGAUGGAAGCUGAGUAUUAUGGCACCUAUACACAAAAAAGGGGAUAAAUCUGACCCGCAAAAUUAUAGACCAAUAAGUCUACUUGGCACAGCAGCAGAACUGUAUAGCAAAUAUCUGCUGACAAAAUUGGAAGAUUGGGUGACCACCCAAAAAAUAAUUCAUCCCACACAAGUUGGUUUUCAGAAAGGUCUUGGAACUAUAGACCACUGUCAAACGCUGUACCAACUGGCUUACUCUGGAAUAAGUGGGCCAACAAAGGCACUUUAUGUAGCAUUUGUUGACUUGGCUGCCGCAUUCGAUUCAAUCAAUAGGUCCCGCUUAAGGUCCAAGCUUGCCAAACUUAACAUCGAUAAGCGACUGCUGUUUCUGCUCUGUGAGCGGCACAAAGAUACUUUUGCUCAAAUCAAGGUGGGAACUUCUGGAUCAUUAACCAACAGAAUCCCUAUUAGUAGAGGCGUGAAACAGGGUCGUGUGCUGGCCCCUCUACUAUUUAACCUGUACAUCAAUGAUAUCAAUGAGACUCUGUCAGGGCCCCACUUUAUGCUGCCUUCUCUGGGACAACAGAAGAUUUCAGUUCUCCUUUAUGCAGAUGACAUGGUCCUAACUUUCCUGACCAAGAUCGGCUUGAGGAGACUCUUAGAUCAGUUAGGCCAUUAUUGUAACAAAGAAGCUCUCAAUGUCAACUACACAAAGACAAAAGUAAUGGUUUUCAGGAGAAAGCCAAAAAUCUCCUGCCGGAGCAUCCUUGGCAACCCAAUCCAACAAUGCAGCUCCUUUAAAUAUCUAGGGGUAACCUUUAAAGAGACUCUGAAUUGGAAGAUACACCUUGCGAUGGUUAAAUCCUCAGCAUCAAGGAUUGUAGGGUCAAUCAUACAUUUUUUCAUACAAAGGCGGUAGGGGUCGAUUGAUAGAUCCAGCACUGAAAUUAUUUAAGAGCAAAGUAGUCCCUCACCUCCUAUAUGGAGCUGAAGUGUGGGGUUGGAAGGAAGAUAUUCUAACCAGUCUUGAGGUAAUCCAAAACCAAUUCUUGAGACGGAUUUUGGCUUUACCCAAAGGCGCUCCUGCCACCCUGAUGAGGGCCAAAACAGGACUCCCCUCUGUUAGGGCGUGAGUACACCUUGCAGUUUUAAAAUACUGGGAAAGGAUCAAAUUUUCCAGUUCUAACUCCUUAAGCUGCCAGGUGAGCAAAUAGAGGCACUCAAAGGAGAAAACAUAAGAUCCCAGACAAAAAAGCUCUCUUCUUAACCUUGGACGUGGUGUCCUUAUACACUUCUAUUGCCCAUGAAGGGGCAAGACAGGUUAUAGAGGAAGCAUUAUGGGCAUGUAGCGAUCAGGUUCCCCCCACCCAUUUCCUCUUGUCCCUCACUGAUAUCAUAAUGGAGAAGAAUUUCUUCGGAUACAGAUCCCACUUCUUUGUACAAAUCAGGGGUGUGGCAGUGGGAUGCCCUGUGGCGCCCUCUAUAGCGAAUAUUCAUAUGAAUCAAGUAGAGGUUCAGCAUGUGUUUAAACCAGAGAAUAACCCUUUUUUGCAGAAAUCCUGUACUACCGGUGGUAUAUUGAUGACGUGGUGGCAAUAUUUUCCAAUAGGGCCAAUACAGAAGCAUUUAUGCAGUUGAUGAAUAAUCUAGAUACCCAUAUUAAGUUUACAGGGAACCAUAGUGACACACAUAUUAAUUAUCUGAAUGUGAUUAUCUACAAAGUUAACGGCCACAAACUAGCUGUUCGUCCGUUUCAUAAGGAGACGGACUUACUUACAUUUUUCCUCUUAUCAUCCCCGAAGACUUAAAAACAACAUUCCAUACAGCCCAUUUCUUCGUCUUCACAGAAAUUCCACUCAAAUGUCUGACUAUUUACGAGAAAGUAGGUCCAUGGCAAAAAACCUCGUGGGAAGAGGUUACUCUCCAAAAUUAAUAGCAAAUGCAAGAAAGAGAGCAUCUGAGGUUAGAAGAGUAGAAUUAUUGAACUCUAGCCAGAAAAAAAACUACUGGCAGAACUCGUUGGUCUUUGAAAUUUACUUCUAAAGCCAAUGAGAUUAGUCAGAUUGUUCGUCAACAGUAGCAUCUGGUUCAUCACCUUCCGGGUUGUGCUGAACCACCAGUGAUAGGAUUUAAAAGAACUAAUAGUCUUCGUGAUAUGCUAGUCCAUUCUAACAAGAAAAGGAAAGUUAUUAACUACAACAACCCUGUAGGGCAUUACAAAUGUGGUCACUGCAGUGUCUGCCCUUUGGCACUCCAGGCAGAAGAGAGACGUUACCCGUGUACUAUAUAUGUCUCCUCCCAGUAAUUUUUACUCAAUUUAUUCUUUUAAUCAACAAUAUAUCUGUUAAUAAGUUAACCUAUUUCUUGAUAUAUACCCAAAACAUGCACCACAUAUUACAAAUAACUACAAUUAUACAGGCGUCAUAUAUGCUCCAAAACAAUCAAUUAAAGUGUCCCGUGCUCCAGUUCCUAUAUUAAUUACUAUUAAAGUGCAAAUGCUUUCUAAUGUCACCCGACACAAUUUAUCAUUUAUAGAGUCAAUUUCGCCUUGUAUUUCAGUUCAAUAUGGGUACAGUCCAAGGUAAUCCCAGACACUGUGAAGGUCACAGAUCACAUGUAGACCUUGAUAAUAUUCUUUAGGAGUACAUUGAUGGUUCUAUGACCAUCAAUGUACUCCUAAAAAUUCACUACUUCAUUAUAGAUCCUUUCACCCAGGCCAUCUAAGGGCUAAUUUACCAUAUGGACAAUUCUUGCGGCUCAAAAGAAAUUCCACCAGAGACUCAGAUUAUAUUAGCCAAAGUAACAAACUACAGGAGCAACUCAAACAAAGGGGAUAUCCUGAUAGGAUCUUGCGCAAGGCAAGACAACGUGCUGAUGAAGUUCUUAGAAAAGACUUAUUACAACCAAAAACACGUGGAAAUAUAGAACGCAUUGUUGGCGUUUUUGAUUAUAGCAAUAAGGCUAAUGCUAUUAGGAGAGCGGUCUUGAAAUACUGGCCAAUGGUUAACGACAUUCCGGGCUGUGGGACCCCCCCCCCGCUAGUAGCCUUUAGGAGGACACAAAAUAUAAAAGAUCUGAUAAUACACUCGGAUCUAAGUUAUAAUAUUCAACAACUGGACUCAGGACUACCAAGGGGAAUGUACAAGUGUGGGAGAUGUAAACAAUGUUCUCUGGUCAUGAGUGUGGAGGAUAUAAAACGACUUGGAAUUAAUAUGACACGAGAGUUUGUAAAUUGUAGCACUGAAGGAGUAGUCUAUCUGUUAAAAUGCCCAUGUGGAUUGUUAUAUGUGGGAAGUACUGUACGUUCUGUUAGAACAAGACUUAGCGAACAUCAAUCCAGAAUUAAGAACAACGUGCUAGAAGCCCCCUUAGUACAACAUUACCAGGAUAAAAAACACAGCAAUAUGGACAUGAAUGUUACUAUUCUGUUCAAGACCCAGAAAAGAGAACAUAAUUCUGCUACAAGAGAGCUUCGUCAAAAAGAAACAUUUUGGAUACAUAGACUCAAUACUAGGGAUGUGCGUUUCGGCUUUCGGAAUGCCGAAAGAAAGCCGAAACAAAAGUGUUUCGGCUUCUUUCGGAUAAGCCGAAACGUUUCGGAGGAAGCCGAAACGUUUCGGCUUAGCCGAAAGAAAAAAAGCCGAAACGU